AUGUGUGCGCAGGAAUGCACAUGUAGAUGAAGUUAUACCCUGCCACGCACACCUACCGCUGCGGCUGUUUCCUGAGAGACUGCGAGAGAGAAGAAAGGCAGGAGACAUCACAUGACCGAACCUUGGGAGGUUCAAACAUCUAAACAGAACAAGAAGAUGACUUUAGAUAUUUUAUAAAUGCUCAUCAAAUGGAAGAGGAAUAUCCCUUUGAAUAGUGGUUGGCUGGAGUAGAAUACAGCGAAGAAGAAGCAUAUCUUCAAUAAAAGCAAAUCUAGGAGGUAAGGGUGUAUACAAUGUGUAUGACAGUUCUAGGGGACAGCUCUCUCAGGGUGUGAAGGCUCCAACAAAGGAGAAGGACCAGGAAAUUCAAGGAAAAUGUGUGGCAGUGGAGUACUGAGGAAUGUGCAUGUACACUGAAGUGAAAUAAUUUCUGGAAAGCAGCUAAGAAUGGGGCAGAAUAUAAAACACAGGGACAGUGGGAGGCACCACUGUAAGAAAUCACUAAAAGGAGACAGGUCCUGUUAAGGCAUUACUUUGCCUUUUGAGUAAGGCUAGUGCUGUGAAGGUUUUGCAUUACUUUUGUAUAAGAUGCAAAGUGGAAAACCCUUACUACUCUGUCAUUUAAAAAUGCAUGGCAUGCCUUAUAAUGGUUCUUUAUCCUUUCAUUACUGGCUGAAUUUCAAUUCUAAUAAAUUACAUUCUGCCUAUA